AAAAAGCGAUAGAUCAAAGUGCAAAAGAAAAAGUUAAUGCAACUCAACAACAUAUUUGGACUAGUAAUCACAGAAUCUUUGAAAAGUUUAUUCAGAAUAAAUUAAGAAACAUGAGAAAAUCUUUUAACAAGCAGCCAGUAGAAUUAUUCACCCAAAAUUAAGUGCUACCAGUACUGGUCAGUAAAUACAAUCCAUGUAUAACUCAAAAAGCUAAACACAAUAUCCAAUUUAGGUCCAGCAGCUACAAGUUGUCCUGCAACUUAGACAUAAUUUCUCAACCAAUAAGUAACUUGUUCUCCUCCAUGAAACUGUAGGUAGGCACCUCCAGAUUAUAUGGUGCAGGUCCUUUGCGAAUCCUACCAGAGAUGUCAUAGUGGGAGCCAUGGCAUGGGCAAAACCAACCACCAAAAUCACCAGCAUUUGGUAAAGGUAUGCACCCUAGAUGAGUACAUACCCCGAUAACAACAAGCCAUUCUAUCAUAGUGCGAGCCAUGGCAUGGGCAAAACCAACCACCAAAAUCACCGGCAUUUGGUAAAGGUAUGCACCCUAAAUGAGUACAUACCCCGAUAACUACAAGCCAUUCUGGAUUUUUGACCCUCUCAGCAUCUUGUUGUGGGUCGCGAAGGGAGCCAAGAUCGACACUGUUCGCCAAAUUGAUGUCCUCGUCAGUACGGCGU
rnacentral:lncRNA from 1 species